rnacentral:misc_RNA from 1 species
UUUCCGUAGGUGAACCUGCGGAAGGAUCAUUAAAAAUGAAGCCGGGAAACCGGUCCUUCUAACCCUUGAUUAUCUUAAUUUGUUGCUUUGGUGGGCCGCGCAAGCACCGGCUUCGGCUGGACCGUGCCCGCCAGAGGACACAACUCUGUAUCAAAUGUCGUCUGAGUACUAUAAAAUAGUUAAAACUUUCAACAACGGAUCUCUUGGUUCUG